rnacentral:rRNA from 1 species
AGCGAACGCUGGCGGCAGGCCUAACACAUGCAAGUCGAACGAACUCUUCGGAGUUAGUGGCGGACGGGUGAGUAACACGUGGGAACGUGCCUUUAGGUUCGGAAUAACUCAGGGAAACUUGUGCUAAUACCGAAUGUGCCCUUCGGGGGAAAGAUUUAUCGCCUUUAGAGCGGCCCGCGUCUGAUUAGCUAGUUGGUGAGGUAAAGGCUCACCAAGGCGACGAUCAGUAGCUGGUCUGAGAGGAUGAUCAGCCACAUUGGGACUGAGACACGGCCCAAACUCCUACGGGAGGAAGCAGUGGGGAAUCUUGAGCAAUGGGCGAAAGACUGACGCAGCCAUGCCGCGUGAAUGAUGAAGGUCUUAGGAUUGUAAAAUUCUUUCACCGGGGACGAUAAUGACGGUACCCGGAGAAGAAGCCCCGGCUAACUUCGUG